ACACUCCUACGGGAGGCAGCAGUGGGGAAUUUUGGACAAUGGGCGAAAGCCUGAUCCAGCAAUGCAGCGUGAGUGAAGAAGGCCUUCGGGUUGUAAAGCUCUUUUGUCAGGGAAGAAACGGUGAAAGCUAAUAUCUUUUGCUAAUGACGGUACCUGAAGAAUAAGCACCGGCUAACUACGUGCCAGCAGCCGCGGUAAUACGUAGGGUGCAAGCGUUAAUCGGAAUUACUGGGCGUAAAGCGUGCGCAGGCGGUUUUGUAAGUCUGAUGUGAAAUCCCCGGGCUCAACCUGGGAAUUGCAUUGGAGACUGCAAGGCUAGAAUCUGGCAGAGGGGGGUAGAAUUCCACGUGUAGCAGUGAAAUGCGUAGAUAUGUGGAGGAACACCGAUGGCGAAGGCAGCCCCCUGGGUCAAGAUUGACGCUCAUGCACGAAAGCGUGGGGAGCAAACAGGAUUAGAAACCCUAGUAGUCCC
rnacentral:rRNA from 1 species